UACGGAGGGAGCUAGCGUUAUUCGGAAUUACUGGGCGUAAAGCGCACGUAGGCGGCUUUGUAAGUUAGAGGUGAAAGCCUGGAGCUCAACUCCAGAACUGCCUUUAAGACUGCAUCGCUUGAAUCCAGGAGAGGUGAGUGGAAUUCCGAGUGUAGAGGUGAAAUUCGUAGAUAUUCGGAAGAACACCAGUGGCGAAGGCGGCUCACUGGCCCGAUACUGACGCUGAGGCACGAAAGCGUGGGGAGCAAACAGG
rnacentral:rRNA from 1 species